CCUUGUCUUUGGAUCACAGAGUGGUGGAUCUGAAGUGUUAUGAACUCACACACAGGACAUCUGAUGACAGCAAACGGGACAUGGUGAAAUUAUUAUCUCCAUAUUCUAGGGGAGAGGACUGAGACCGAGCACGAUGUAAACAACUUCAUAGACCUUAAGUAGUGGAACAGCGAUGUGCAUGUGGGUCUGACUUCUAACCUUAAUGCUAGAUUGCUUCUGUAGGUGAGUAUAGCCAUCUAU
rnacentral:lncRNA from 1 species